GUGACUGCAAGGGGAGGGGGCUAUGGGCCGCAAGUUACUUGCCGGAAGAAGGACAUCUACUCGAAAUUCCACGAGGAUGCUAAAGUCUGCUGCAAUGGAGAAUUGGUGAUGACAACAGGUGGGACGCAGAAGGAGUACGUGGUGGAUGUGUGUAUGAACACAAAAAUUCUUUUUCAUUUCUACUAACUACUUAACUGCUUUAAGAUUUUGUCCUCCAUGUGAGGACAUAUUUAUUUGUUGUUAUUUUCUUAGCUAAGAAGAAGAUGAGAACAAGAUGAGAAGGAAAAACAGAAACUACUUUGAUACAAUUCAAACACAUAUAUAGAGUAGAAAAAGAAGAGUUUUGACUUACCAGAGCAAAGUUGAGAACAAGAUAUGAGUCGAAAAAUAGAGCUUCUUUGAGUCUGCUGUGAGUGUCUUUGAGUCUGUUGUGAGUGUCAAUUGAAGAGCAGGAGUUGAAGAGCAGGGUUUUCUG
rnacentral:lncRNA from 1 species